rnacentral:rRNA from 1 species
GGUUAAGCGACUAAGCGUACACGGUGGAUGCCCUGGCAGUCAGAGGCGAUGAAGGACGUGCUAAUCUGCGAUAAGCGUCGGUAAGGUGAUAUGAACCGUUAUAACCGGCGAUUUCCGAAUGGGGAAACCCAGUGUGAUUCGUCACACUAUCAUUAACUGAAUCCAUAGGUUAAUGAGGCGAACCGGGGGAACUGAAACAUCUAAGUACCCCGAGGAAAAGAAAUCAACCGAGAUUCCCCCAGUAGCGGCGAGCGAACGGGGAGCAGCCCAGAGCCUGAAUCAGUGUGUGUGUUAGUGGAAGCGUCUGGAAAGGCGCGCGAUACAGGGUGACAGCCCCGUACACAAAAAUGCACAUACUGUGAGCUCGAUGAGUAGGGCGGGACACGUGGUAUCCUGUCUGAAUAUGGGGGGACCAUCCUCCAAGGCUAAAUACUCCUGACUGACCGAUAGUGAACCAGUACCGUGAGGGAAAGGCGAAAAGAACCCCGGCGAGGGGAGUGAAAAAGAACCUGAAACCGUGUACGUACAAGCAGUGGGAGCACGCUUAGGCGUGUGACUGCGUACCUUUUGUAUAAUGGGUCAGCGACUUAUAUUCUGUAGCAAGGUUAACCGAAUAGGGGAGCCGAAGGGAAACCGAGUCUUAACUGGGCGUUAAGUUGCAGGGUAUAGACCCGAAACCCGGUGAUCUAGCCAUGGGCAGGUUGAAGGUUGGGUAACACUAACUGGAGGACCGAACCGACUAAUGUUGAAAAAUUAGCGGAUGACUUGUGGCUGGGGGGUGAAAGGCCAAUCAAACCGGGAGAUAGCUGGUUCUCCCCGAAAGCUAUUUAGGUAGCGCCUCGUGAAUUCAUCUCCGGGGGUAGAGCACUGUUUCGGCAAGGGGGUCAUCCCGACUUACCAACCCGAUGCAAACUGCGAAUACCGGAGAAUGUUAUCACGGGAGACACACGGCGGGUGCUAACGUCCGUCGUGAAGAGGGAAACAACCCAGACCGCCAGCUAAGGUCCCAAAGUCAUGGUUAAGUGGGAAACGAUGUGGGAAGGCCCAGACAGCCGGGAUGUUGGCUUAGAAGCAGCCAUCAUUUAAAGAAAGCGUAAUAGCUCACUGGUCGAGUCGGCCUGCGCGGAAGAUGUAACGGGGCUAAACCAUGCACCGAAGCUGCGGCAGCGACACUAUGUGUUGUUGGGUAGGGGAGCGUUCUGUAAGCCUGCGAAGGUGUGCUGUGAGGCAUGCUGGAGGUAUCAGAAGUGCGAAUGCUGACAUAAGUAACGAUAAAGCGGGUGAAAAGCCCGCUCGCCGGAAGACCAAGGGUUCCUGUCCAACGUUAAUCGGGGCAGGGUGAGUCGACCCCUAAGGCGAGGCCGAAAGGCGUAGUCGAUGGGAAACAGGUUAAUAUUCCUGUACUUGGUGUUACUGCGAAGGGGGGACGGAGAAGGCUAUGUUGGCCGGGCGACGGUUGUCCCGGUUUAAGCGUGUAGGCUGGUUUUCCGGGCAAAUCCGGAAAAUCAAGGCUGAGGCGUGAUGACGAGGCACUACGGUGCUGAAGCAACAAAUGCCCUGCUUCCGGGAAAAGCCUCUAAGCAUCAGGUAACAUCAAAUCGUACCCCAAACCGACACAGGUGGUCAGGUAGAGAAUACCAAGGCGCUUGAGAGAACUCGGGUGAAGGAACUAGGCAAAAUGGUGCCGUAACUUCGGGAGAAGGCACGCUGAUAUGUAGGUGAGGUCCCUCGCGGAUGGAGCUGAAAUCAGUCGAAGAUACCAGCUGGCUGCAACUGUUUAUUAAAAACACAGCACUGUGCAAACACGAAAGUGGACGUAUACGGUGUGACGCCUGCCCGGUGCCGGAAGGUUAAUUGAUGGGGUUAGCGCAAGCGAAGCUCUUGAUCGAAGCCCCGGUAAACGGCGGCCGUAACUAUAACGGUCCUAAGGUAGCGAAAUUCCUUGUCGGGUAAGUUCCGACCUGCACGAAUGGCGUAAUGAUGGCCGGGCUGUCUCCACCCGAGACUCAGUGAAAUUGAACUCGCUGUGAAGAUGCAGUGUACCCGCGGCAAGACGGAAAGACCCCGUGAACCUUUACUAUAGCUUGACACUGAACAUUGAGCCUUGAUGUGUAGGAUAGGUGGGAGGCUUUGAAGUGUGGACGCCAGUCUGCAUGGAGCCGACCUUGAAAUACCACCCUUUAAUGUUUGAUGUUCUAACGUUGACCCGUAAUCCGGGUUGCGGACAGUGUCUGGUGGGUAGUUUGACUGGGGCGGUCUCCUCCUAAAGAGUAACGGAGGAGCACGAAGGUUGGCUAAUCCUGGUCGGACAUCAGGAGGUUAGUGCAAUGGCAUAAGCCAGCUUGACUGCGAGCGUGACGGCGCGAGCAGGUGCGAAAGCAGGUCAUAGUGAUCCGGUGGUUCUGAAUGGAAGGGCCAUCGCUCAACGGAUAAAAGGUACUCCGGGGAUAACAGGCUGAUACCGCCCAAGAGUUCAUAUCGACGGCGGUGUUUGGCACCUCGAUGUCGGCUCAUCACAUCCUGGGGCUGAAGUAGGUCCCAAGGGUAUGGCUGUUCGCCAUUUAAAGUGGUACGCGAGCUGGGUUUAGAACGUCGUGAGACAGUUCGGUCCCUAUCUGCCGUGGGCGCUGGAGAACUGAGGGGGGCUGCUCCUAGUACGAGAGGACCGGAGUGGACGCAUCACUGGUGUUCGGGUUGUCAUGCCAAUGGCACUGCCCGGUAGCUAAAUGCGGAAGAGAUAAGUGCUGAAAGCAUCUAAGCACGAAACUUGCCCCGAGAUGAGUUCUCCCUGACUCCUUGAGAGUCCUGAAGGAACGUUGAAGACGACGACGUUGAUAGGCCGGGUGUGUAAGCGCAGCGAUGCGUUGAGCUAACCGGUACUAAUGAACCGUGAGGCUUAACCUU